CCAGGCUAAGAAUACUGAAUGCCGCAGCAGCAAAGAAAUGCUAACUUUUGAACUUUUAUUUAGAUAAAAGCUACAGGUGAUGACACGAUGAAAUUUUGUCGAUUAUACAUCUCAGGUUAACUUGUGAAUCGUUUUCAUGUCAGCUGCUUCCUUGAGUGUCCCCUUUUCAACGUGUUCCCACCAUUUGAACAAGAAAUUGUCCACAACUAGUCUAAACCAAGGUGA
rnacentral:misc_RNA from 1 species